UAGUCUCUCUCACAUUGCCUUCAGAAACUUCAGCUAACUACCCUUACUCAUCUCCACCACCACCGGCUUCUCCUCCCUACCACUACAAGUCACCACCACCUCCUUCUCCUUCUCCUCCAGUGUACUCACCACCUAAGCAUCCCUACCACCCCAAGUCACCACCACCAUCACCAAAGCCUUACCACUACAAGUCCCCACCACCACCUCCUCCUCCAGUGCACUCACCACCCCCACCAAAGGAGCCUUACCACUACAAGUCUCCACCACCACCACCCAAGAAACCUCACCAUCACAAGUCUCCUCCACCACCACCCAGGAAGCCCUACCACCCGGUGCACUCACCCCCACCACCAAAGAAGCCUUACCAUUACAAGUCUCCUCCACCACCACCCAAGAAGCCCUACCACCCGGUGCACUCACCCCCACCACCAAAGAAGCCUUACCAUUACAAGUCUCCUCCACCACCACCCAAGAAGCCCUACCACCCGGUGCACUCCCCACCACCACCAAAGAAGCCUUACCAUUACAAGUCUCCUCCACCACCACCCAAGAAGCCCUACCACCCGGUGCACUCACCCCCACCACCAAAGAAGCCUUACCAUUACCAAUCCCCACCACCACCACCACCACACAAGAAGCCUCACCACCCAGUUCACUCACCACCUCCACCUAAGAAGC
rnacentral:lncRNA from 1 species